GACCAGUUCUUGAGACAAGUGGUGAGGGGAAAAAGAAAAAGAGAGAUAAGAAGAGGAACAUGAAGAGUGAUGAUUUAAACAAUUUUUUUUUGGUUCCAUGAACAAGACAAAGAAGGAAUUAGGCAAUAAGAGAAUAAUUUGAUCAACUUCGUGCAUAAAACCAGAGACUAUUGCGAAGAUAAAAAGUAGAGAUGUUGUCUUUCGUUAUGUUUACCAGUACAAGGAUAAUCCUAAUGCUCUUGGUAGAGCCGACGGGAGCAGACUCUGUGUAUUGACGACAUACGACAUUGUCCUGGAUCUUCUUUUAUCCCGGAUUGCAUAUACAUUAGCAAGAGACGCCGACUUGCAACAGUGAGUUAUUCUUUCUACUUUUUGACCUCUCAAAUUAGUUUGUUGUAUAAAAAUUGAUCUCAGUAUACAUUAACCAAAAAAUCAAAUUAGUUAGUUUCUAUUGCUAUAGCAAGUAUGUGAUUAGGUAUAAAACCAAAAAAUCUGUUAUUUGGUUGGGAGGAAUUGAUGUUAUUAGAUAAAACAAAAGUUUUAGUAAAUAUCUUUAAAAAAUUGGAUAAUCUUUGAUGAUGUAAUGUAAAUUAUUAUCUUGAAAAUAUUGGUGAGAGAAGCCAACCUUGAUUAGCUUGAUCUUUGAAGAUAUUA